CACGUAGGGGGCAAGCGUUGUCCGGAUUCAUUGGGCGUAAAGAGCUCGUAGGCGGUUCGAUAAGUCGGGUGUGAAACCUCCAGGCUCAACCUGGAGACGCCACCCGAUACUGUCGUGACUAGAGUCCAGUAGGGGAGCGUGGAAUUCCUGGUGUAGCGGUGAAAUGCGCAGAUAUCAGGAGGAACACCAGCGGCGAAGGCGAGUCUCUGGACAUUUCCUGACGCUGAGGCACGAAAGCCAGGGGAGCAAACGGG
rnacentral:rRNA from 1 species